UCCUACGGGAGGCAGCAGUGGGGAAUAUUGCACAAUGGGGGAAACCCUGAUGCAGCCAUGCCGCGUGUGUGAAGAAGGCCUUCGGGUUGUAAAGCACUUUCAGUUGUGAGGAAAAGUUAGUAGUUAAUACCUGCUAGCCGUGACGUUAACAACAGAAGAAGCACCGGCUAACUCCGUGCCAGCAGCCGCGGUAAUACGGAGGGUGCGAGCGUUAAUCGGAAUUACUGGGCGUAAAGCGCACGCAGGCGGUUUGUUAAGCUAGAUGUGAAAGCCCCGGGCUCAACCUGGGAUGGUCAUUUAGAACUGGCAGACUAGAGUCUUGGAGAGGGGAGUGGAAUUCCAGGUGUAGCGGUGAAAUGCGUAGAUAUCUGGAGGAACAUCAGUGGCGAAGGCGACUCCCUGGCCAAAGACUAACGCUCAUGUGCGAAAGUGUGGGUAGCGAACAGGAUUAGAUACCCUGGUAGUCCACACCGUAAACGCUGUCUACUAGCUGUGUGUGCCUUUAAGGCGUGCGUAGCGAAGCUAACGCGCUAAGUAGACCGCCUGGGGAGUACGGCCGCAAGGUUAAAACUCAAAUGAAUUGACGG
rnacentral:rRNA from 1 species